rnacentral:rRNA from 1 species
UACGAGGGGGGCAAAUGUUGUCCGGAAUUAUUGGGCGUAAAGAGCUCGUAGGCGGUUUGUUGCGUCGGCUGUGAAAUCCCGAGGCUCAACCUCGGGUCUGCAGUCGAUACGAGCAAACUAGAGUGUUGCAGGGGAGACUGGAAUUCCUGGUGUAGCGGUGAAAUGCGCAGAUAUCAGGAGGAACACCGGUGGCGAAGGCGGGUCUCUGGGGCCG